AAAGCACAUAGCAGCCAGCCGAGAACAUUUUCUUGUGCAUUUUAUAAAACGCCUGCAAUCCUAUCAAUGCGAUGCAUUUUAGAAGCGCUAUUAAUACAGCCCCCCUUAGCUUCUUCUGCAGGCCACAACUGAACCUUCUGAAAGGCUCCUGGCUGCCACCAAAAACAGCAGCCUUAUUGUGCAGCAAUACAAAACAUAUGACAUGGUGCUGCUGCACUGAGAAUCUCUCCCCACCCCCAAAAGAGGCAGCCAAUGAAGAGGAGUGCCCUGCCCGAAAAGCGCAUCAGAUGUUUCAUAUUAUGUAUGGGAGAAAAGAGAAUCUGCGGUGCUCUUUGCAGUGGCAGUACCACGUCCUAAGCCCUAGUUCCAACCUUCAGCUGCACAACUAUUUGUAAAAAGAAGUUUUACAGCCAUUUUACUUUCCUUUGAGAAACAGUUCAGUAAAUACCUGCCAUAACCAGGAGGCUCAGAUUCUUGGGCUCUCCUGCAGAUCAGCAGUAGAGAGCAUCACACACACACCCCACUUCUGUAUGACUUGCAAACUUUUGUAAGAAUCCUGGAAAGAAAGUGAAGGCCGGAUCCGCCCGAAAGUUCUGUUGCACAGGGAAAGAGCACAGGAGGAAGGCGAAGAUGCGGGAGCCGGGGGGGUCCACUUCUCAGGAAAUUUGCACCCUCAAGAAGCUGAGAUUUUCACAGACUGCUAAGAACUUUUUGGUUCAUUGGAUGUUUAUGCGCAGGAUUUCUUCUCAAAUGUCGCUGAUAUAAAGAAGCCCAGGCUGUGAUAAACUGAUAGCUGAAGAGGACUUGAAGUUCCUGCGAAGGCAAAGGUGGCCAUCAUCUUAACAGAUGUACUCUAUUUUGAGUGUAUUGAUUUAACUCCUGCAUAAAAUAUGGUAUAAGCAAAGAACAGAAGGGGAAAGAUUUGAAUAUUUACUGUGUAAUUGUAUCAUACUAACUAAGGAUAUGUAUGCAAUAUUUUAUUUGUAUGGGACAAACAGGAAAAAAGCUUACUUCCAUCCCCAUAUCUUGUAGCACCUGAAGGCAAACAAAUUUAUUAUAGCAUAAGCUUUUGUGGAAUACUAAAGUAGAUUUCCCUGGAUGCACAUAGCGAGUGGACAUGCUUUAAAAUGUACUGUAAGAUACAGAGCUGUGGCCAUAUGAGUAACCUACAUAUGAAUUUUAGGAUCCUGUUGCUUCAGUACAAAUAGGGAGAAAUUGGUCCUUGUGACAGCUUCAACAGAAAUAGAUGUACUCAUGGCAGUUACAUCCUAUGGUUAAGCAUUUGAGUUAACAGGAGUAAAACUCAUUCCUGAUCUAGCCUUUGUGGUCAACAACUUCUCUCUGUUUGCAUUGCAUCAAAAGGAUUCUAAAAUUCAGAUAUUAUCUGUUAGCAACGUCUCCACAGUAAGUAUGGGAAGCUGGUGAGUUUAUUUAUUCUGAACAAAAAUUUGAGAAAUAAGCAAAUAUUAUUCCUGUUUUUAACACAGAUCUUUAACACAGGUUUGAGAGACUGCUACUAUUUUAGAAUAAAUGUUCCUGUGAUAAUUCUACCCCUGCUAAUAGUCUUCCUUUUUAGUUGCAACACCAGACAUUAGAGCAAAUGUAAUAUCGGCUAGGGAAGACUAAGACUGCAUUGAUUGAUAUGUAAAACUCAAAUUAAAAUUUUGAUUAUUUUAUCCAGAAAAACCAACACCGGAGCUGAUAAAAGUUUUUAACACUUGUAAAUGUGUACCACUGCCAUCAUCACCAUCAUCUUCCCACUACGAUUUUUCACAGAUUUUGCUGGUGUUUACAGUGAUAAAAAGGAUUGCAAAACAUGUAUGAGGAGCGAUAACAGCAGGAUAAAAGAAGUCUUGUUUCUCAAUUCUCUUCAUACUUAGAGCACAGACAGAUGGUUCCCUCCCUCCCGGCCCACAUUUCACUUUGGAUGUCUUCUGUGGUUUGACUGCACCGGGUAUUCUAGGCAACCAGUCUUCCCAAUGAUCAGAUACAUUUCAUAAUAAAUUUUGUAAUCUGCUUAUGCAGUUUUCUCUUGCUGAAACUUUCCAUUAUUCAUUGUGGUGUUCACCUCUUUAGACAAUUCAUGCUCUGCUAUGACCAUACUCAUUAAACCCUUCGUGCUAAUGACAUAAAAACUUGGUUCCUGCUAUCACUGUAUCCGUCUGUUUUCAGUUGGAAGGAUAUUUGAAACUGGACAAUUGGACGGUAUCGUCUUCUGCAUUUUAAAAUAAGUAAGGACAAGGAAAAGGGUUUUUCUUGAUAUAAGCAUUUCAGUGCAGCCAAAUGCACACUGGAAUGUGCACUGAAGUGCAAUUUCCACCGAAAGCCCUUCCUUGAGUUCUUAAAGUGCAGAACAGUUUCAAAUGUGAAUGAUUUUUCCAGAUUAAAUUACAGGUAACAGCAGGAUAUCUUUUGGGGGAAAGGAAAACAGCAUU